rnacentral:rRNA from 1 species
GCAAGUCGAACGAGAUCUUCGGAUCUAGUGGCGUAAGGGUGAAUAACACGUGGGAACCUGCCUUUAGGUACGGAAUAACGUCUGGAAACGGACGCUAAUACCGUAUACUUCCCCCGGGAAAAAGGUCCGCCGCCUAAAGAGGGGCCCGCGUCAGAUUAGCUUGUUGGUAAGGUAAUGGCUUACCAAGGCUACGAUCUGUAGUUGGUCUGAGAGGAUGAUCAACCACACUGGGACUGAGACACGGCCCAGACUCCUACGGGAGGCAGCAGUGGGGAAUAUUGGACAAUGGGGGCAACCCUGAUCCAGCAAUGCCGCGUGUGUGAUGAAGGCCCUAGGGUUGUAAAGCACUUUCAACGGUGACGAUGAUGACGGUAACCGUAGAAGAAGCCCCGGCUAACUUCGUGCCAGCAGCCGCGGUAAUACGAAGGGGGCGAGCGUUGUUCGGAAUAACUGGGCGUAAAGGGCGCGUAGGCGGUCUAUCCAGUUGGGCGUGAAAGCCCUGGGCUCAACCCAGGAAUUGCGUCCAAUACUAAUAGACUAGAGACCGAGAGAGGAUAGUGGAAUUUCCAGUGUA